AAAUAUACACUGUUUUCCGCAAAUUUGCUUAGUGCCCACUAAAACUACCUUCCUAGAUCCGCCCCGACUAAAACUAAAUUCUAGUUUCAUUGUCUUACCACCAGGAAUAAUAUACCUAAGAAUCAGACAACAAAAUUAAGAAAAGAUGUCUGUAGUUGAUAUUGCCAGUGGACUGGUUCAAAAGGUUGUUUUACUUGCAACUGAAGAGGUUAUUCAGGCUUGGAAUCUUCACGAUGACCUCGAGACACUCCGGAAAAGGUUGGAAUCAAUUGAUGCUCUCUUGUCUGAUGCUAAUACUAGGAAUCUGACCAUGCCUGCUGUCCAAAACUGGUUCAACAAACUCGAAGCUCUCGCUAACGUUGCUGAUGUUUUUAUGGAUGAACUUGCAUACGAGGUUACUCGAAAAAAAAGUGGAAGAUCAUCACGCAGUAAGGAACUUCUUCAUCCCUUCUAAAAAUAGCAUGUUAUAUCGUUUCAAGGUGGCUCAUAAGAUCAAGUCUAUUCAAACAUCUUUUGACAACAUUUUUAAAGUGGCUGGAGAUCUGGGACUUCAGCCCAUAGCGCAUUUAAGUUCCAUUGCGCAACCAAGGGAGAUUCGUAACACCCCACCUUUUGAAGAUGAGGCAAAAAUUGUAGGAAGAGAUGAUGAUAUAUCAUAUUUAGUCCAGACAGUGUGCAAAAAUCAUGAACAGGAUUUACAAGUCAUUGCUGUGGUGGGAAUGGGAGGUCAAGGCAAGACGACUCUGGCUCGUAUGGUUUACAAUAAGGAUGAUGUGAUUAAUAAGUUUCCUAAGAGGAUGUGGGUGACUGUAUCUGAUGAUUUUGAUUUUAUGAAAAUUUUGAAUCAAAUGGUGGUAUCUCUCACUUCAAGGCCUUCCACGUUGGAGAAUAUAGAAGGACUCAUCAAUUAUCUUCAAAAGAAGCUAAAAGGGGUGAGGUUUUUACUCGUGCUAGAUGAUGUGUGGAAUGAGAAACAGGGGGAUUGGGACAACUUGAGGAAUUCUUUGCUUGGAGUUGGUGCUGCGAGAGGAAGUAAUAUUUUAGUCACCACGCGUAAACAGGAGGUGGUAGAUACCAUGCGAUGCUCAGUUUGUUAUAGUGUGGAAAAGUUAUCAAUGGAAUAUAGCUGGGAAUUGUUCAAGCAAAGAGCAUUUUCUCAUGAAGGAGUUUUAGAGACGGAGAUAUUUAAGACCUUGGGCAGAAGAAUGGUUGAAAGGUGUGGCGGCCUGCCCUUGGCAAUAAAAACACUAGGGAGUUUAUUGCAUUCAAAGAAGUCCGAACAAGAGUGGUUGCUGAUAGACAACAGUGAAAUAUGGAAAUCAAAAGGUGUACUCUCUUCCUUAAGGUUGUCGUAUGAUAAUUUACCUUAUCCUCUUUGAAACGAUGUUUUGUAUAUUGCUCUAUAAUGCCAAAAGAUUCUGACAUUUAUAAGGAUGAAUUGGUACAAAUAUGGAUGGCACUAGGGUUCCUCUUUCCUCCUUUGGGAAGUAACAUGCUGAUGGAAGAUUUUGGCAACGAGUACUUCAACAUUUUAUUGUGGAAUUCAUUGUUACAAGAAGUUGAAAGAGAUGCAUUUGGAAACAUCAAACGUUGCAAGAUGCAUGAUUUAGUACAUGAUCUUGCUCAAGAUCUAUCUAAACAUCAUUCUCUAACUGUGAAGGCCGGUCAUGAUCAAUUCAACCAUAUAUCCCAGGCUAUGUACGUGAGGGUUGAUGAAGGGGUUUUAGAUAUAAAACCACAGAAAAACUUUGAAAGAGUACAAAUAUUGUUUGCAGGCACCCGUAUCCUUGCCGAUGUGUUACCUUACCUCAAACGCUUGACUGUUCUGGUUUUGAACGCUGAUGGAGUUACUAAUAAGUUGCCAAGUUCAUUGGGGAAGAUGAAAUAUCUCAAACAUCUGGAUAUCUCAUGUUCCCGCUAUAGGUUGCCUAGCUACAUCACGGAGCUCUACAACUUGCAGACAUUGAGAGUUUGGGAUUUAGACGAGCUUCCUAAAAAGUUUUGCAACUUAAUCAACUUGAGACAUUUGUACAUUGAGAAUGCAUAUUCUCAAAGAAGAUGUGUGUUUACUGGGAUAGGGAGGUUAACCUGUAUACAAACGCUGCCUCAUUUUGUUGUGAGUAAAGAUAAAAUGUGCCUCGUUAGACAACUUGGAGGGCUCAAAAACCUUAGGGGUAAACUAGAGCUCUAUGGCCUUGGAGACAUAGAUAACAUGGAAGAAGCAAGUAUGGCAAGUUUGCAUACAAAGCCUAAUAUUGAGCGUUUAAAGUUAGUCUGGAGGAACAAGGAAGAUGUGAUGGAAAAAAGAGAAUACAACGAUGAGGAUGUGAUGGAAGGACUGAAACCUCACACAAAUUUGUUAGAGCUGACGAUCAUCAAUUUUAUGGGGAGGAAGUUUGCAUCAUGGAUUACAAUGAUGACGAACUUGGUGAAAGUCACAUUGAGAAAUUGCAAAAGAUGUGAAGUCUUUCCGCAAUUGGGUCACUUGCCUAAGCUGAGGGAGAUGGAUAUAAAUGGGAUGGAUGCACUCAGGGUCAUUGGAAGCCAUUUCUAUGGAGGUCUUGGUAGAGGUAGUAGUGAGUUCAGUGAAAGUUGCACUACAAUCUAUCCAUCAUUGACAAGAUUGAUUCUGUGGGAUUUGCCAAAGCUAGAAGAAUGGCUAGAACCCUUAGUGAACACAUACAAUGAAGAGCAAGGUCCUGUUCAAGUAUUUCCCAAACUUGAGGUAUUGGAAAUAGUGAGUUGUUCAAAGCUGAGAAGGAUCCCGAAAAGUUGUUUUCUGUCCUUGAAGGAGUUGGAAAUCAAAAAUUUAGACAGCAGCAAGAUACUAGAAACAAUGAGCACAAAGCUUAGCUCUCUCACGAACUUACGACUCACAAAUAUCAGCGACGGAGAUGGAGGAUGCUCUUCUUCUAAAUCAAACAUGGACUCAGUAUUGGAGGAGCUCUUGAAAAACAGUUCCCUGACUCUGACAAAUUUGAAACUAGAUCACUGUCAGGGCUUGACAUGCCUGACUUUUAGCCUUUUUGUUGCUCUUGACACAUUAAAAGUUGUUGAUUGCCCUAAUCUCACUAGUAUUAACGUAAUUAAAGAGUUAAGCGCUUUGAACCACCUUAUAUCUGAGUGUCCUAACUUGAAGGAAGGGAAUUGGAUGAAUUCAUUGUAUUCCAACUAUAAAUUGGUAUGAAUAUAAGGGUAAUGCAGGAGGAGCUUGGAGCCUGGGAAAGAGAGGUUCAUGCAAACACAUUCGACAAACAGAUUCCGUAAAUUCAGGCAAUUAUACAAUUAGAAGUUUAUAAUGGUCCUCAUCUAACUACUAUUACGAUGGUUGAAGCCUAAAGUAGUCUAAAAGAUCUUAUGAUUGCCCCUCUCUCCCAGAAUCUGCCCAAAAUGUCAGUUCCACACUCGUGACAUUAAAAUUAAGCCCCUUCUCGUCGGAGUUAUUCUCCUCUUCUGUAACUUGUUUUCCUAAGCUAAUCUAUCUGUAAUAUCUUAGUUGCAAUGUAUGAAAUACCUGAAAGAACAGUGUCUUGUUAGUGACAUGCAAAUUUUCUAAUUUUUACAGUUCUUGAUGGCUAAAAUAGUGUCAUUGUCAGUCAUACAUUCAUCUGAAAUAUUCAGCCUAUUGUCACUCUUGUCAUACUCUUCAGUUUCUAUACAUAAAUUUUACCCGAAAUACCGUGACGAAAAUGUAUUUACAAAAACCAGAGAGAUUUGCAGAUCUUGUUGUAAAAACUAC